CAGCCGUAAACUAUGCGCGUUAGGUGUACUGGUGACCACGAGUCACCGGGGUGCCGAAGGGAAACCGUGAAACGUGCCGCCUGGGAAGUACGGUCGCAAGGCUGCAACUUAAAGGAAUUGGCGGGGGAGCACCACAACGGGUGGAGCCUGCGGUUUAAUUGGACUCAACGCCGGAAAUCUCACCGGAUAGGACAGACAUAUGAUAGUCGGGCUGAAGACUCUACUUGAUGAUCUGAGAGGAGGUGCAUGGCGUCAGUGACU
rnacentral:rRNA from 1 species